rnacentral:rRNA from 1 species
AGGCAGCAGUAGGGAAUUUUCGUCAAUGGCGCAAGCCUGAACGAGCGAUGCCGCGUGAGUGAAGAAGGCCUUCGGGUCGUAAAGCUCUGUUGCGGGGGAAAAAAGGCAGCAUCAGGAAAUGGGUGCUGACUGAUGGUGCCCCGCCAGAAAGUCACGGCUAACUACGUGCC